UAUUGGACAAUGGGGGCAACCCUGAUCCAGCCACGCCGCGUUAGUGAAGAAGGCCUUUUGGUUGUAAAGCACUUUAAGCAGUGAAGAAGACUCCGUGGUUAAUACCCACGGACGAUGACAUUAGCUGCAGAAUAAGCACCGGCUAACUCCGUGCCAGCAGCGGCGGUAAUACAGAGGGUGCAAGCGUUAAUCGGAAUUACUGGGCGUAAAGCGAGCGUGGGUGGCUUGAUAAGUCAGAUGUGAGAUCCCCGGGCUUAACCUGGGAACUGCAUCUGAUACUGUUAGGCUAGAAUAGGUGAGAGGAAGGUAGAAUUCCAGGUGUAGCGGUGAAAUGCGUAGAGAUCUGGAGGAAUACCGAUGGCGAAGGCAGCCUUCUGGCAUCAUAUUGACACUGAGGUUCGAAAGCGUGGGUAGCAAACAG
rnacentral:rRNA from 1 species